GCCUUCUUAGCUCAGUGGUAGAGCGUUGCACUUGUAUUUGUAGUUGGAAGUAUGCAAUGCAAAGGUCAGUCGUUCAAUCCGGCUAGGAGGCA